rnacentral:rRNA from 1 species
CCCAGACUCCUACGGGAGGCAGCAGUGGGGAAUAUUGCACAAUGGGCGAAAGCCUGAUGCAGCAACGCCGCGUGAAGGAAGACGGUUUUCGGAUUGUAAACUUCUGUUCUUAGUGAAGAAUAAUGACGGUAACUAAGGAGCAAGCCACGGCUAACUACGUGCCAGCAGCCGCGGUAAUACGUAGGUGGCAAGCGUUGUCCGGAAUUACUGGGUGUAAAGGGAGCGUAGACGGCAGGGCAAGCCAGAAGUGAAAACGCAGAGCUUAACUUUGCGACUGCUUUUGGAACUGCCCAGCUAGAGUACAGGAGAGGUAAGUGGAAUUCCUAGUGUAGCGGUGAAAUGCGUAGAUAUUAGGAGGAACACCAGUGGCGAAGGCGGCUUACUGGACUGAGACUGACGUUGAGGCUCGAAAGCGUGGGGAGCAAACAGGAUUAGAUACCCUUGUA